rnacentral:rRNA from 1 species
UACGAAAGGGCGUAGCGUUGUUCGGAUUUACUUGGGCGGUAAAGGGACGACGCAGGCGGUCUUGCCAGUCAGGGGUGGAAAGACCCCGACGGCUCAACCUCGGAACUGCCUCUGAUACUGUAAGACUUGAGACUAGGAGAGGGUGGUGGAAUUCCCAGUGUAGAGGUGAAAUUCGUAGAUAUUGGGAGGAACACCAGAGGCGAAGGCGGCCACCUGGACUAGAUCUGACGCUCAGGUGCGAAAGCGUGGGGAGCAAACAGGAUUAGAUACCCCGGUAGU